GAACAAAAUUUCUAGAUUCCAUUACAGACCAACUAUUACAGAAGAAUUAUUAGAAAUACCAGAAGAUUGGGAUGCAGCUAUUCACAAAAUAAUUAAGAGAGAACCGGAAUUAGAUUCGAAAUUUAUAAAUAAAUCAUAUGAUAAAGGAAGUGAUGAAAAAAGCCAAAUUACUAGAAAUGAUAGUAAUUCAUCUGUUAAUAAAUGCAGUGAUGAUGAAAGUAGAAAAAUAGAAGGAUUCGUGAAUGUUGACAAGCCCAUUAAAAAAGUUUCCAUUUUGGAGGAGUUUGAACUUGUGCCAGGCUUAUUUGUUUCUGCUGAAAGCGUAGAGCUGUAAUAUAAAAUGUUUUAAAUGUAACUCUAACAUUUAAGUAGUCUAUUAUAUGCAGUAUAUAAAUUUUAAUUACUGUUAAAACUUCUGUAAAGUAUCAUUUUCGAGAACAAUAAAUCUUCUUAAGUUGAAAGCAGCGUUUUAAAUAAAAUCAUUCACAAAACCAAUCCUUUAUUUAAGCAUGUUCUUUCUUUUAACAAGUGAAAAGACACGAAAAUCCGUUAAGAAUUGAACAAAGA